UACGAAGGGGGCUAGCGUUGCUCGGAAUCACUGGGCGUAAAGCGCACGUAGGCGGCUUUCUAAGUCAGGGGUGAAAUCCUGGAGCUCAACUCCAGAACUGCCUUUGAUACUGGGAAGCUCGAGUCCGGAAGAGGUGAGUGGAACUCCGAGUGUAGAGGUGAAAUUCGUAGAUAUUCGCAAGAACACCAGUGGCGAAGGCGGCUCACUGGCCCGGUACUGACGCUGAGGCACGAAAGCGUGGGGAGCAAACAGG
rnacentral:rRNA from 1 species